UUUAUGGCUCAAACAAUCACCUAAAGCUUGGUUUGAGAGGUUCACAAGGUUUGUUAAAAGUCAAGAUCAUACACAAGGUUUGUUAAAAGUCAAGGUCAUACACAAGGAAAAUCAUAUCACACCCUCUUCACACGAAAAUCUAUAUAAUGCAAAACUGUUAUCUUAAUAGUCUAUAUGGAUGACAUAAUUUUAAUUGGGGAUGAUUUGGACAAGAUUAUGA
rnacentral:lncRNA from 1 species